rnacentral:rRNA from 1 species
AGCGAACGCUGGCGGCAGGCUUAACACAUGCAAGUCGAGCGGGCGUAGCAAUACGUCAGCGGCAGACGGGUGAGUAACGCGUGGGAACGUACCUUUUGGUUCGGAACAACACAGGGAAACUUGUGCUAAUACCGGAUAAGCCCUUACGGGGAAAGAUUUAUCGCCGAAAGAUCGGCCCGCGUCUGAUUAGCUAGUUGGUAGGGUAAUGGCCUACCAAGGCGACGAUCAGUAGCUGGUCUGAGAGGAUGAUCAGCCACAUUGGGACUGAGACACGGCCCAAACUCCUACGGGAGGCAGCAGUGGGGAAUAUUGGACAAUGGGGGCAACCCUGAUCCAGCCAUGCCGCGUGAGUGAUGAAGGCCCUAGGGUUGUAAAGCUCUUUGUG